UUAAAUUAAUGAAGUGGAUGUAAUAGCCAAUUUUGGCCUAAAGCUCAAAUCAAUAAAACAAAUAAUAAAACAGUCCAAAAUGAAUGUCCAUUUACAUAUUAUACCCAAGCCCAACAAGCCCGAAAGUCUAGAAACCCCAAAGCCCAACUAGCCCAACUACACAAAACAUUUCAGCAAACCUUAACCCCUCCAAGCUUCAGCCGCCGCAUGCCCCCUUCAACCUUGGCCGCCGCACGCCUCCUCGCACACGUCUGGCCGCUCACGUCACCUGCAAAACGAGACUAACAUACAAGCAAAAGAAAACAACGAACAAGAAGACAAAAAACAAUAGCAAACAACAAAGAAAAACAAUGAAGAAACAGACAAAGAAUAGAAACAAAACGAGUGUGUAUUCGGCUAUAAAGGCCAUAUUCGAUCCCUUUGUAAUUUUUUACGUACAUUAAAGAAUCAAAAAAGCAGAAUAGAAGCUUAAAGAAAGGUUGAUUUUGAUUUUCUUUUCUUUUUUUUGUGUUUUCUUGUUUCUUCUUUUUAUUAUUAUUAUUAUUACAAAUCUAUUUUCAAGUAAAAAGAAUAAAUAAAAAAGGAGAAGAGAAAAUUUACCCGAAUCCGAUCUUGGCAUGGCUCCGACCACCGUCUACGGUGGAGCCUCGGAGCCAAGGCGGUUCGGCGAUGGUGCGAUGAUGGGUUUCAAAACCCUAGCAGAGGAGAAAAAAGAAAAAGGAGGUUCAGAUUUUUUUUUAAAAAGGGAC
rnacentral:lncRNA from 1 species